rnacentral:lncRNA from 1 species
AUUCAAGGCAGGCCUCAUAACCAAUGACAGAUGUCCUUUUAAGAGAAGAGGCGGAAGAAUCUUUGGUGAGACAAAGAGAAGGUGAUGAGAAGACCCACGUGAAGACAGAGGCAGAGACUGAAGUGAUGUGGCCACAAGCUAAGUGAACUCCUGAAUCCACCAGAAGCUGGAGAAGAUAAGGAAAGAUUCUACCCUAGAGGCUUGGGAAGGACCAUAGCCCUACCCACUCUGACUUUUGGACCCCACAACUGUGAGAAAACAAAUUUCUGUUGUUUUAAGCCACCAGGUUUGUAGCACUUUGUCAUGGCAGCCUUCAGGAAGUAAUUCACGUUGUCCAGGCCCUUUGGCUGGGUAGUCAGAACCACAUGUUCUAAGCUGCUGCUCCAGGUCCUAAUCCUCACGGGGGCGGGUUUGGCACGGUCUUUGCUGGGUUGAAAGAAUAUGUCCAAUGCUGAAGAUAACGAUCAGGAAGCCUACCUGGCAACGGAUAUCCAUGACACUUUCUUCCAUUUCAGCUCUUUUAAAUGAUACUGAUAUAUUAAAAGACGUCUUGUGAUCUCCAUAUGACUCAAUCCUCCUUGUCUUCCUUUCAGUUGUGUAGAACCCAGGAGAGAAACCCCAGUAUCUACAAUAAACUUCUCACUCUCAGAGCCUCAAGACUGUGUAUUAAUAAACCCUGUGUUGGAGAAUAAUGUGAUAAUUUCGAUGUGGAUUCUCAUCCCAUGUGACAAGAAAAGCAUAAAAUAUGGCGUGGUGUUUUUAUUGAAGUUUUAUGCACUGAAUGACAAAGUGAUCGGUUUUGAGACUCACAUCGAGGCAAGCAAAAUUUGCUUACCAGGGGAAUCUCAGACAGAAAACAAUGGAAUUCAACUCUGAGUAGUAUUAGUGGAGUGCAGGAAGAGAAAGGAAAAGGGUGCCUCUACAGGCGGAGACAGGAAAAGGCAGCGAGAAGAGCGUUUUUGAGAAUGGAAUAGUCUUAAAAUAGGCCUGAUUCCCAAAGGUGUCAUUUUUCUCUCUUGCAACUAAGAAUGCAAAUAAAGUUCCUUCCAUAAAAGACGGAAGCAGGGACCAUGAGAAGCAAUCACAGGAGGAGGAAAGUGUGGAGGAAAUGAGGAACCAUCUGCAAAUUACAUGUGUGGAUUUUCACCAGCCACACAGAAAUGCACAAAAUACAUGAGGGCCGUAACUUUGACUGUGGGCAGCUCUGGAGUCAGAGAACUGAACCGUCAUCCCAUCAGUUAAGACACUAGAAAGAAAGUAGCCAGCGUUCCCGAGUUGGACUAGCCAGAAUGGGCGCAGAGCAUCAGGAUCCUGGAAAAAAGUAAUUGGUGGUUGUAUACAUUUGUCAGAUCAUAAUUACUGUAGGUAUUUAUAAAUGGUUCAGUUUAUCAUGAAGAUACGGUUGUUUGCAAUUAACCCUGCUCUCUUGAUGAAAUAUUAAACUAACAACUUCCUCAGGCGUUAUCAAGAAAGAGGUCAUGCCAACAAGAAAUUUCAUAAAAGUUCCUGUUUCCAGAUAGGGUAAUCCACAAAAAUAUACUUUUUACUGCAUGAGAAAAGGAAAACAAAUGAAAUGGGAGUAAAGAAAAUGCAUAAUGCAAAUGCUGUGCUCUAAGAUCGCUUAAUAUAUUAUGUUAUCCAAUCACCAUAACACCAAGAAAGAAAACUGGUAUGAUCUCUGAACUACAAGUGAGCAAUGUAAGACACAUAGUGUGUAAUUAAUAUGCCCAAGGUCAUAUAGCUUGUAAGUGGCCCUACUGGGAUUCAAAUUCAGGACAUCUCAUUUUAAAACCCUGAUUCGUAGCACUUAGCACUCAAUUCCUGGCCCGAAUCACAUAUAGGAUAAGUCAACACAUACAGUUGACUUGAGACCGCCCAGAGAUGAAAUGAUUAGCUAGUGCAUUAAUUUCCUAUUGCUGCUGUAGUAAAUUAUUACAAACGCAGUGGAUUAAACCAACAUACAUUUAGGUAUUAUCUCGUAUUUCUGGAUGUCAGAAGUCCAAAAAGGGUCACUAGGGCCGUACAUCUUUUGAAAGCUCUAAAGGAUUAUCCAUUUCCUUGCCUUGCCUUUUCCAGCCUCUGGAAGCUACUCGUUUCCUUGGCUCACGGCACCUUCCCCCGUCCAUCUUCAAAGCCCAUCACUCCAACCUCCGUUUCUGUUAUCACAUCUUUUUACUGACUUUGUUUCUCCUUUCUUCCUCUUAUAAAGAUUCGUAUGAUUACUUUGAUUGUACCUAGAUAAUCCAGGAUAAUUUCUCUGUUUCAAGAUCCUUAAUUACAUCUGCAAAGUCCCUUUCACUAGGUAAAGUAAUGUACUCACAGGUUCCUGGGAGUAAAACACGGAUAACUUUAGAGGGCCAUUGUUCAGCUUACCAAUAGCUCUUUGUUGAUUGAUAAUGGCAGGUACAUUGCAGAUGUUUUGCCUUUAUUGAAUGCUGGCAGAGUUCAGAUUCUCCCAUAAACAAUGAAAGGUCAGAGUCUUUUCCUGGCCCUCUGCCCACCUGUAUUAGACAGAACCUGCACUCCUAUAAUUGAAAAACAAAAGGUUCAGGAACAUAAUGGGAAACUUAAUGUGGCCAUCUCCUGCUUUUAGAUGGCCGGGGGCUUAGCUGAGCAGAAUCUAUAAGCCAAGCAUCCACAUGGGCUUGUUGGAAUGGGAUGAGUCUGGAGAAAGCGCUUGAUUGAAGAAAUGAGGAUCUAUACCCUGGGAGAAUGAUAGAAAUAACUUGCUUUGCAUCCGAAUUUACAAGCAAAAUUUCAUGGACUGCAAAAGAAAAAUAAAAAGGGUUAAACUGACACUAAAUACAUUUCU